UUGGAAACAGACUGAUUU
rnacentral:misc_RNA from 1 species